rnacentral:rRNA from 1 species
ACUCCUACGGGAGGCAGCAGUGGGGGAAUAUUGGACAAUGGGGGGAACCCGUGAUCCAGCCAUGCCGCGUGUGUGAAGAAGGCCUUAUGGUUGUAAAGCACUUUAAGCGAGGAGGAGGCUCUUUUGGUUAAUACCCAAGAUGAGUGGACGUUACUCGCAGAAUAAGCACCGGCUAACUCUGUGCCAGCAGCCGCGGUAAUACAGAGGGUGCGAGCGUUAAUCGGAUUUACUGGGCGUAAAGCGUGCGUAGGCGGCUUUUUAAGUCGGAUGUGAAAUCCCCGAGCUUAACUUGGGAAUUGCAUUCGAUACUGGGGAGCUAGAGUAUGGGAGAGGAUGGUAGAAUUCCAGGUGUAGCGGUGAAAUGCGUAGAGAUCUGGAGGAAUACCGAUGGCGAAGGCAGCCAUCUGGCCUAAUACUGACGCUGAGGUACGAAAGCAUGGGGGAGCAAACAGGAUUAGAUACCCUGGUAGGAUAGCG